UAGCACAGUGCAGUAGUGCAGUCUGUCGCAAACAGAAAGACGCGGGUUCAAUUCCCGU
rnacentral:tRNA from 1 species